rnacentral:lncRNA from 10 species
UAGUCACCAAAGGAUGCCUUACAUGUUACUGCAGACAGAAAAAAAUAUUUUUAAUAGCCGCACUAUGGAGUAGCAGUUAGGAGCACAGACUCUAAAGCUAGGUUGCCUGGAUCCAAAUCUUGUGCUGCUUACCAGAUGAGCGACCUGGGCAAGUUAUUUAUCUUGUCUAUACCUCAGUUUCCUCUUCUGUAAAGUGGAGAUGAUGAUGAUUAUAUCUCUCUAAUAAUCUGUUGAGUAUUAAAUGAGUUAAUGUGUAUAAAGCAUUCCAAACAAUAUAUUGUAUA